GGAACAGCUGACCACUCUGGAGCCCCACCCACUGGGUGGGACUUCCGCUAGCAAGGCUCCACCUUCUUAAAGGUACCAGAAAACCGCUACCCGACCAACACCAACCUUUCAAAUACUUGAACCUAAGUGGGGGGGGGGGGGGGGAGCAACACCUGUGUUCAGCUUUAACGUUUAAAUUAGAAGUCAUUGAAAUCUGCUACGAGAAGAACGAAGCAAAACGGUUUAAGAACAGCAGCCACGCAAUAGCUCGAAGCCUGAAAAACAGGGGUUAAAGGAGUGCACCACAGCCCUGCUCCAGUCUAAGACAACCUCAGGAUUUCCUCUGCGCCGCCAAGACGCAGCUGCACCAGCAGGUGGCAGUGCGGAGUCGCAGGGUCUCAGGGUCUCACAGUGAAAUUCUGGCUGAACUGGAACUCAGAGAUCUGCCUCUACCUUCCAAGUGCUGGAAUUUAAAGAUGUACCCCACCACACCUAGCUCUAUGGCUUAGUUUCUU
ensembl:lncRNA